rnacentral:rRNA from 1 species
AGCUCCAAUAGCGUAUAUCAAAGUUGUUGCAGUUGAAAAGCUCGUAGUUGGUAGUUUUGGCGAGUUAAAAAGUGAGGCUUUGCCGAUCUAAAUUACUUGCCAAUUAUAUCCGUUGCUUCCGCAGCGGGUUCCUUUACUGUGACAAAAUUAGAGUGUUUCAAGCGGGCGCAAGGCCUUUAUACUAAAGCAUGGAAUAAUAC